UCUGGGUAUGGUGGUGCAUACCUGUAAUUCCUGGUACAGGGAAUGUUUUUGAGACUGGUGAAUCACUUGAACUUGGGAGUUUUGAGCUAUAGUAGGUAUCUCUACUAAGUCUGGCAUCAAUAUGAUGAGCCCCUGAGAGUAGGGGGCCAGCAGGCUGCCUAAAGAGCAGUUAACUGGCCCAGGUUGGAAAUGAGAAAGGUUGAAGUUUCCAUACUAAUAAACAGUGGGAUCAGGCCCAUGAGUGUCUAUUGUACUUCUAAUAGGAAUGAGAUAGGGAGAUUCAGUCUCCA
rnacentral:SRP_RNA from 1 species